UGGGGAAUUUUGGACAAUGGGGGAAACCCUGAUCCAGCCAUCCCGCGUGUGCGAUGAAGGCCUUCGGGUUGUAAAGCACUUUUGGCAGGAAAGAAACGUCGCGGGUUAAUACCCCGCGAAACUGACGGUACCUGCAGAAUAAGCACCGGCUAACUACGUGCCAGCAGCCGCGGUAAUACGUAGGGUGCAAGCGUUAAUCGGAAUUACUGGGCGUAAAGCGUGCGCAGGCGGUUCGGAAAGAAAGAUGUGAAAUCCCAGAGCUUAACUUUGGAACUGCAUUUUUAACUACCGGGCUAGAGUGUGUCAGAGGGAGGUGGAAUUCCGCGUGUAGCAUGAAAUGCGUAGAUAUGCGGAGGAACACCGAUGGCGAAGGCAGCCUCCUGGGAUAACACUGACGCUCAUGCACGAAAGCGUGGGGAGCAAACAGGAUUAGAUACCCUGGUAGUCCACGCCCUAAACGAUGUCAACUAGCUGUUGGGGCCUUCGGGCCUUGGUAGCGCAGCUAACGCGUGAAGUUGACCGCCUGGGGAGUACGGUC
rnacentral:rRNA from 1 species